rnacentral:rRNA from 1 species
GCACCGGUGAGUAACACGUAACCAACCUACCUUACACACGGAAAUAGCUCUUCGAAAGAAGGAUUAAAACCCGAUAUAAUAUAUUUGUGACCUGACUAAUAUAUGAGAGAGUUAUCGGUGUUAGAUGGGGAUGCGUUCCAUUAGACAGUAGGUGAGGUAACGGCUCACCAAAUCUACGAUGGAUAGGGGUUCUGAGAGGAAGACCCCCCACAUUGGGACUGAGACACGGCCCAAACUCGGAUCGGGAGGCAGCAGUGAGGAAUAUAGGUCAAUGGACGAGAGUCUGAACCAGCCAAGUAGCGUUUAGGAUGACUGCCCUAUGGGUUGUAAACUUCUUUUAUAGGGGAAUAAAAUGCACCACGCGCUGGUGUUUUGUAUGUACCCUAACGAAUAAGGAUCGGCUAACUCCGUGCCAGCAGCCGCGGUAAUACGGAGGAUCCGAGCGUUAUCCGGAUUUAUUGGGUUUAAAAAGGAUGCGCAGGCGGACUGAUAAGUCAGCUGUGAAAGUUUACGGCUCAACCGUGAAAUUGCAGUUGAAACUGUCAGUCUUGAGUACACAUUAAUUUACCGAAAUUUUUGGUUUACCGUUCAAAUUCUUAUAUAUCACAAGAAACUCCAAUUGCGAAGACACCUCACUGGGGUUUAACUGACGCUCAUCCACGAAGGUGUGGUUAUCAAACAGGAUUAGAUACCCUGUUAGUCCACACAGUAAACGAUGAAUACUCCCUGUUUGCCAUAUACAGUAAGCGGCCAAGCGAAAGCAUUAAGUAUUCCACCUGGGGAUUACGCCGGCAACGGUGAAACUCAAAGGAAUUGACGGGGGCCGCACAAGCGGAGGAACAUGUGGUUUAAUUCGAUGAUACGCGAGGAACCUUACCUGGGCUUAAAUUGCAACUGACAGGACCCGAAACGGUCCCUUCUUCGGACAGUUGUGAAGGUGCUGCAUGGUUGUCGUCAGCUCGUGCCGUGAGGUGUCGGCUUAAGUGCCAUAACGAGCGCAACCCCUAUUGCUAGUUACUAACAGGUUAUGCUGAGGACUCUAGCGAGACUGCCGUCGUAAGAUGAGAGGAAGGUGGGGAUGACGUCAAAUCAGCACGGCCCUUACGUCCAGGGCGACACACGUGUUACAAUGGGUAAGACAGAGGGCAGCUACCUGGUGACAGGAUGCUAAUCCCAUAAACUUACUCUCAGUUCGGAUCGAAGUCUGCAACUCGACUUCGUGAAGCUGGAUUCGCUAGUAAUCGCGCAUCAGCCAUGGCGCGGUGAAUACGUUCCCGGGCCU